ensembl:lncRNA
CCCGGAGGCCGCCGCGUGGCCCGGAAGGAGUGCGCUGCCUCCGAGGGUGUCUGCGCGGCUGCGACGCGGGCGUCACGGGGGUGUGUGUGCAGGGCUCCAGGCGUCACGCGGGGCGGGCGUCACGGGGGGGGGGGUGCAGGGCUCCAGGCGUCACGCGGGGCGGGCGUCACGGGGGGGGGGGUGCAGGGCUCCAGGCGUCACGCGGGGCGGGCGUCACGGGGGUGUGUGUGCAGGGCUCCAGGCGUCACGCGGGGCGGGCGUCACGGGGGGGGGGUGCAGGGCUCCAGGCGUCACGCGGGGCGGGCGUCACGGGGGGGGGGGUGCAGGGCUCCAGGCGUCACGCGGGGCGGGCGUCACGGGGGGGGGUGUGCAGGGCUCCAGGCGUCACGCGGGGCGGGCGUCACGGGGGGGGUGUGUGUGCAGGGCUCCAGGCGUCACGCGGGGCGGGCGUCACGGGGGGGGGGUGUGCAGGGCUCCAGGCGUCACGCGGGGCGGGCGUCACGGGGGGGGGUGUGCAGGGCUCCAGGCGUCACGCGGGGCGGGCGUCACGGGGGGGGGUGUGUGCAGGGCUCCAGGCGUCACGCGGGGCGGGCGUCACGGGGGGGGGUGUGCAGGGCUCCAGGUGUCACGCGGGGCGGGCGUCACGCGGGGAGGGCGUCACGGAGGGCGGUGUGCAGGGCUCCAGGCGUCACGCGGGGAGGGCAUCACGGGGGGGAGGUGUGCAGGGCUCCAGGCGUCACGCGGGGCGGGCGUCACGCGGGGAGGGCGUCAUGGGGGGGCGGUGUGCAGGGCUCCAGGCGUCACGGGAAGCGGCGUAACGCGGGGCCGCUGUCACAGGGGGGUGGGCGUCACAGGGGACGGGUUUGCAGGGCUCCAGGCGUCACGCGGGACGGACGUGCAGGGCUCCAGGCGUCACGCGGGGAGUGCGUCACGGGGGGCGGGCGUCACGCGUGGAGGGCGUCACGAGGGGGCGGGUGUGCAGGGCUCCAGGCGUCACGCGGGGAGGGCGUCACGGGGGUGUGUGUGCAGGGCUCCAGGCGUCACGCGGGGCGGGUGUCACGGGGGGGCGGGCGUCACGCGGGGAGGGCGUCACGAGGGGGCGGGUGUGCAGGGCUCCAGGCGUCACGCGGGGAGGGCGUCACGGGGGGCGGGCGUCACAUGGGGAGGGCGUCACGGGGGUGUGUGUGCAGGGCUCCAGGCGUCACGCGGGGCGGGCGUCACGGGGGGGGUGUGCAGGGCUCCAGGCGUCACGCGGGGCGGGCGUCACGGGGGACAGGUGUGCAGGGCUCCAGGCGUCACGGGGGACGGGUUUGCAGGGCUCCAGGCGUCACGCGGGACGGGCGUGCAGGGCUCCAGGCGUCACGCGGGGAGUGCGUCACGGGGGGCGGGCGUCACGCGGGGAGGGCGUCACGAGGGGGCGGGUGUGCAGGGCUCCAGGCGUCACGCGGGGAGUGCGUCACGGGGGGCGGGCGUCACGCGGGGAGGGCGUCACGAGGGGGCGGGUGUGCAGGGCUCCAGGCCUCACGCGGGGGUGGCAUCACGCGGGGGCGUCACGGGGGUGGCGUCACGCGGGGAGGGCGUCACGAGGGGGCGGGUGUGCAGGGCUCCAGGCGUCACGCGGGGCGGGCGUCACGCGGGGAGGGCGUCACGGGGGGCGGGCGUCACGCGGGGAGGGCGUCACGGGGGUGGCAUCACGAGGGGCGGUGUCACGCGGGGCGGGCGUGCAGGGCUCCAGGCAUCAGCUCCUCACACCGGAGGCGGCGCAGACGGAGCCGCCAGAACACAGCCCAGCGCGAAGCCCACGCCACGGGACGCGGCGGUUCCGCACCCGCCGGGGCAGCGCAGAGCAGAGCGGCCCCUGCUGAGCGGAGCCCGGACAAGGGACAACGCGGCUGCACCGCGCGGCCUGGGGACCUGAGCCAGACGGACCCGCUGCGCAGGAACAUCUUCCACACAAGCAGCACCCGGGAGCCCUCGGGGCCGCCCCCUCACGCCUUUACUUCCGGAAGGCGGGGACCGCCACGGCGAGCGGCUAGACCAGCCGGGGCAACGCAGUGA